ACGGAUCGGAGCGGAGGAAAUGUUCAGAUUAGCGAAUCGGAAGCGACUGAGAUGAAGUCCAGCGAAUCUGGACGGGGAUACUCUAAUCCUCAAACUGUAGAAGCGAAGAAUGCGAAUGGUUAAGCAGACGAUGGAAGUAAAGAGAGAGGGGGAGACGAUCGGAGAAGGGAGGCGACUUGGGCGCGCGGGAGAGAGAGAGAAAGAAAGGAGAGAGAGAGAGAGAGAGAGAGAGAGAGAGAGAGAGAGAGAGAGAGAGAGAGAGAGAGAGAGAGAGUGUGUGUACAAACAUGAAAGCUUAUGAAUUUGAAUGGUGAUUCUGGUUGGAACACGCCAUCCUUAAGCCAUCUCUCUGGCUUGAACUCCUCAGCCUGUUGUCCCCAAAUAUAAGUCAUCCUUCCAAUGGCAUAGGAUAUGUAGUAGACAUUACCCUUCUCUUCACUCUAUGUCCAUUUGGAAGCACAUCAUCAUUCUAUGUACACCUCGUGUCCUUUAGAAUGAAACCAAAAGAAAGUGUUAAAAUCCUCAUUGGUUUGGAUCAAUCACAGAAGAAUCUUUAAAGGAGUGGUACCACAGGGACAGCAGUGUAAAGCCUCAAGGUCUCAGACAAGGCCGCAUGGAGAUACUGCAUCUGAUCAAGAGCCUCUUCAUCUAUACUCUCAACGAAACCUUUCCCAUCGGUUGUUUCCUCAUGACUCGACGUCACGUCUCUGAUCUCUCAUACUAUUUUCUCCUGAACAAGUGGGUUUUUGCAGAGCAUGUACAAGAACCAAGAGAGAGAUGCAGCGGUUGUGUCCUUCCCAGCGAUCAUAAAGCUCAAGAUUAUAUCCCUCAGAUACUUAUCAUUCAUCCUCUCUGGAUCUUUCUCCCUCUCCACCAGAAAUCUCGAUAAUAUAUCCUCUCUAAUAGCCUAAGUACAAAGCCAAAACAUUUUUGGUUUUAACAUUCAAUCAAAACAAGAGGGUUGAGAACUUAAGAGAGAACUCACAGUGUUCUGUUCUUUCCUUUUAGUGAUAAUGAGUCUAUAGACAAACUUAUCUAUAGUAGCAAUGCUCUUCUUGAGCCUAGCUUGUGAUCCGAUGUUGAGAAACCAUUUCAGCUUCCAAAGCGGAUCGAUGAACCUCAACCUAGUUGCAUCGUUCCCUCCCUUCGUCGAAAGCCUCCCUACAUGAAUUUGUUGUUGAUCUUGGUUCUUAAAAUUACCUGAAGACCGGUUGUUCCACAACCUUCAACAGUGAAGUAGCAAUGCACUAAAGACUUGUCAUUUCUAAUCUGUUACCAUGAAAGAUUCAAUAUUUGUACACUAAAAAGAGAUCAAGUGAUUUUGUGAGGAAAAGGUUAGAAAUAAAAGGUCCAAAGAUAUUUUGAGGAAAAUGACUUAUCUUUUCAAAUCUUUUUAUGUCUUUGAUAUUGAUUCAUGUUCUUCAAUCAAGAAAAAAAUCAGUCAGAUCUAAAUCUAUAUUGUGAGAGGAAAAGACCAUUUCUAGUUUGUUACCAUGAAAGAUUCAACAUUCGUACACUAAAAAGGAGAUCAAGUUAUUUUGGGAGGAAAAUCAUGUUUUUAUAAAAUACUAGGGUCAGCCCGCCCUACGGGCGGAAUGUGAUCUAAAUUAUUAUUUUUUGUAUGAUUUUAUGAUUUAUGUUUUAGGUUUGUAUUUGCAAGAGAUAUGUAUGAUACACUACAAAAAAAAUCAUAUUAUUUCACAUAAA